CGGGCGCUGGCAAAUCCGGCCCGGGAUGUAGAGCUGGCGGUGCCUGACGGCGUGUCUAAAGCGGAGUUGGGGUGGGGUAGAGAGUAGGGGGCGGUCGCCAGGGGUGGUGGGAGAAGGAGGCGGCGGCAGCGAAUCACUGAUACAGGGCCCGACGCAGGACCUGAAGCCUAAACUCCAGGAAGCAUUAAAAAUAUUUUAAGCAACAAAAAUAUUUACAGAAAAUAAAACCAAAUUGUGAUGGGCCAUGAAAAGUGGAUACUGUACAGUAAUGUGGAAUGGAAGAGAUCAUGGGGCAAGCGAAAUGAACCACCACCAACCACACCAAAGGCCGGUUUUCAUCCAGAGAAGGUGAUGUUGUGUAUAUGGUGGGAUUGGAAGGAAGUCCUCUAUUAUGAGCUCCUUCCGGAAAAUCAAACGAUUAAUUCCAACAAGUACUGCUCCCUAUUAGACCAACUGAGAGCAGCACUCGGCGAAAAGCGUCUGGAAUUAGUCAACAGAAAACACAUAAUCUCCCAUCAGAAUACUGCAAGACUGCAUGUUUCUUUGAUGACUAGGCAAAAACUGUUACAGCCUGGCUGAGAAGUUCUGAUUCAUCUGCCGUAUUCACCAGACAUUGCACCUUCGGAUUUCCAUUGAUUUGGGUCUUUACAAAAUUCCUUUAAUGGCACAAAUUUCAAUUCCCUGGAUGACUAUAAAAGGCACCUGGAACAGUUCUUUGCUCAAAAAGACAAAAGUUUUGGGAAGAUGGAAUUAUGAAUUUGGCUGAAAAAUGGCAGAAGUUAGUGGAACAAAAUGGCCACACCAUGAGGCAUGCAGGAUCUUCCCUGACCAGGGAUCGAACCUGUGCCUCCUGCAUUGGGAGCAUGGAGUCUCAAUCACUGGACUGCCAGGGAAGUCCCUAUUUUUUACUUGUUUUGAAUACAUAGUAGAUAUAUUCAGAUAGUAGAUGUAUGUUUUUAAAGUUCUAAAAUGGCUGAAAUUGGAUUCAUGGCGAUGGUCAAGAACUUUGUGUGUACAUAUAUCUUAAUGGUAUAAUACCAAUACAGUUUGCAAGUAUAUUUUAAGUCCUAUUGAUCAUUUAUAUCCUUGAAUGUUAUUUUUGUUGUAUCAACUUCUGGCAAACUCUAUUAGACUGGCAAAUUUUUCUGCUCUGGCAGCAGAACAAUUUAAAAUGGUGAUUGGAAUAGCUUAAAUUAUUGUGGUUCUCUUGGUUUGCCUCUGAUAAAAACUGGGUUUUUUUUAAAGAUUUUUUUUGAUGUGGACAAUUUUCUAAAGUCUUAUUGAAUUUGUUACAACAUUGCUUCUGUUCUGUGUUUUGUUUUUUUGGCUGUGAGGCAUGUGGGGUCUUAAUUCCCCAACCAGGGAUCAAACCCGCACCCCAUGCAUUGGAAGGUGAAGUCUUAACCACUGGACUGACAGGGAAGUCCCCAUGAUAAAAACUUUUAAAUCCAAAACCAGAUAGUCAUCACUUUUUCAUAGUUAAUGACUUCCUCUAAUAAUUCAAUCUAAUUUGUUUAGCUGCAGCCCCUAUGGAAAACAGUGCAGCAGUUCCUCAAAAAAUUAAAGAGAGAAUUACCAUACACUCCAACAAUCUCACUUUUGGAUACACAUCCAAAAGAAUUAAAAACAGGAUUUCAAAGAGAUGUGUGUACAUCUAUGUUCAUUCAACAUUGUUAACAAUAAAGAAACGUGGUAUAUACAUAUAGUAGAAUAUUUUUCAGUCUUGGAAGGAAAUUCUGACACAUGCUACAACAUGGAUGAACCUUGAGGACAUUAUGCUAAAUGCAUUAAGCCAAUCACAGAAAGACAAAUACUGUAUCAUUCCACUCGUAUAAGGGAUCUAAAAUAGUCAAACUCUUACAGCAGAAGGUAGAACGCUGAUUUCUAGGGGUUAAUGAGAGGGAGAAAUGAGGAGCUGUACAGAAUUGCAAGAGAAAGUCUUAGAGAUUCUUGUACAAUAAUGUGGGCAGAGUUAAUAAUACUAUACUGUACUCUUAAAAAUGUUUACGAUAGUAAAUUUUAUGUUACAUGUUUUUACCAAAAUUUAAGAAUGUCAACUUCCUUGGAUAUUUGUACAACAUGCAUAGGGAUGAAAAUGUAAAAAUCUUUUUUAGUUGUUAAGGGAUCUAAGUAUUUGGAGGAAUGAACCAUGUUUUUGGAUUGGAAGUCUCAGUAUUUUCAAUUCUCCAAAAACUGAUGUAUGGAUUUAAUGUAACCUUAAUCAAAAUAGCAGUUUUGGGGGGUGGUUUUUGGUGGCACUUGAGAAGCCGAUUCUAAAUUUUAUAUGGAAAUGGCAAGGACCAAAAAUAGCCAAGAUAGUCUUAAAGAAGUAUUGGAGGAAAGUGGGAAGUUUUAAAUUUACUAUAAAACAUACUGAGAAUAUGUUACUGGCACGUCUGGCUACAUAAUUCACAGGACCCAGUGUAAAUGAAAAUGCGAGGCCUUUCAAGAAUUCCAAAACAGUAGCAGGCAAAUAUUAAAUCAAAUGCAGGGCUCUUCUGAGCUUGGGGCCGUAAGCAGCUGCAUUGGUGGCAAGCCCAUGAAUUCGGCCUGAUUAUUGUCUCAAAAAUAUAGACUAAACCAAUGGCACAAAAUAGAGAGCCCAGAAACAGGCCCAGGCACAUAAACUCAUUUGACCUAUGGCAAAAGGUGGCCCUACAGGAGCAGUGGGGAAAGGACAGUCUUUUCAGUAUAUGCUGACAAGAGAAAAAUCCAAGUGCAAAACUGUAUAGACUUGAAAAGAUGAAAAAGUCCUUAAAAAAGGGAAGGAAAUUCUAACACAUGCUAUUACAUGGAUGAACCUUGAGGACAUGAUGCUGUGUGAAAUAAGCCAGAUGCGAAAGGACUAGUGUAGUAUGAUUGCACUUACAUGAGGUACUUAGAGUAGUCAAAUACAUAUAAACAGAAAGGAGAAGGGCUUCUACCAGGGGCUGGGAGGAGGUGGGGGGAUGGGGAAUUAUUACUUUAGGGGUACAAAGUUUCAGUUUGGGAAUAUGAAAAAUCCUGGAAAUUAGUGGUGCUGAUGGUUGCAGGAUAGUGUGAAUGAAGUUAAUAAUUAGUACAGUAAAUCCCAUGUUAUAUAUCUUUUAACAAUGAAAAAGAUGAAAAGCAAAUAAUAUAGCUGUAGAAGAAAAUAUAGAAGAAUAACUUCAUGACCUUGGCCUACAGAAAGGUCUCUUAAGCAAGAUUCAAAAAGCACUAAUGCUAAAGAAAAUGUUUGAUGGCUUUGAUUCACUUGAAUUAAAGAACUUUAUCAAUGACACCAUUAAAAGAGUGAAACAUUAAGUCACAGAGUUGAAGAAGACAUUUGAAACACAUGUAAUUGGCAAGGGGCUUAUAUCCAGAAUAUGUAAGUAUAUAUAUAUACCUGUGCUUUAACCAUGCAAAUUAAAAUCACAAUGAACUAGCUCCACACAGCAAGACUGGCAAUGCCCGGGGUUGGUAAGUGUGUGAAGUCACAGGAACUCUUAACACUGCUGGUGCUGUAAUCACUUUGGAGAAUGGUGUGGCGUGUCUUCUAAGCUGAAGAUUUGCACACCCAUGAGCCUGCAGUUCCUCCAGGAGCUACUUACUUGCUAGCAUGUGUGUGUGUGUUGCAGCCAAAUACAUAUGUGAGUAUGUUCUUAUCAAUAUGUUGAUCAUAACGUCUGCCAUGGACUGAAUGUUUGUGUCCCCCAAAUCCAUACAUUGAAACUCAAUCCCCAAUGUGAUGGUAUUUGGAAGUGGGGCCUUUGAGAGGUCAUUAGUUCAUGAGGGUGGGGCCCUCAUGUGGGAUUAGUGACCUUAGACAAGGGACACAAGAGUUUCUCUGUCUCUGCCAUGUGAGAACACACGGGAAGACAGCCAUCUAUAAAUCAGGAAGAUGUCCAGAUGGCUUUCACCAGAACCUGACCCCUGACCAUGCAGUCACCCUCAUCUUGGACUUCCCACCUCCAGAACUGUGCAAAAUAAAUGUUUGUUGUUUUAGCCACCCAGGCUAUGGCAUUUUUGUUAUAGAAGCCUAAACUAAGACAGCCCCCAAAUGGAAACAAUGGAAAUGUCCAUUCAUAGUAUAAUGGACUGAAAAAAAAAAAGCAUAUUCAUACAGUGAAUUCCAUAUAGCAGUAAUAGAAUGAACUACAGAUGCAUCCAGCAACAGUGCUAAAUCUUCAAAGUACAUAAUAUUGAAAGAAGAUUGAUCUAAAACUGUGCAUACACUUUUUGAUUCCAUUUAUAGACAUUACACAGACACGCAGCUCUCACCAUCGUCAGUGGAUGCAAGGAGCCUGGUCAAUUAUAAAGCCGUUUUAGGAAGGGCUUCCUGGGAAUGCUAGGGGGCAGAAAUCCAGGCAGGGGGCAAGGAGGGAGGAGGUCCCACUGUCAUGCAUCUGACUGGUGGCAACACAGGGCUUUGCUUGACAAUAAUUUGCUUAGUUGAACAGUUAUAUAUUUUAAACAUUUUUUCUGGAUGUAUAUUAUUCACAAUAAAGAGGAAAAAUAGAAAUUAGAGCAAGUAUGAAAACCCUUUCAUGUAGUAUUACUGGAGGGGGAUGUGGAGUUGAAACUUUUUUCCUGGAUCCUUUGUGUAUUUGAUGACCUCUUCCCCACCCUGCCCCCCUCUUCAUCCUUCAGCAUUUAGAGGAGCUCCUGUGCUAGGAGAGGGGACUCUCCUCACCACUGCUGCCUCACUGCUGCUGCCCAGGCAGACACAGCCUCUGGCCCACACAAGACACUCUGUGCCGGCCAGCUGAGCAAACCCAGCUCUCUUCCUUAGGGGUGUUUCCUUGCUUCUUCAUAGGCAAGGAAGGUCAUUCUAUAUUUUGUUUUUAAUAUUUUUCCCCUUGGUUUAAAAAAAAUUUUUUUUUGAAUCUUUAAAUUUUUUUUUUUUUGGCAAGUCCGUUUUGAUUGUAUGCCAGAUGUUGUGUAUUUCACCAGGUUGGAGGCUUGAUAUUUUUGUAUUCUGAGAAAUAUUCUUGAGUUUUUUUUUUUCUGUGAUGCAAUUAAGUUACUUAGAAGUUAUUUGAUCUUUUAUGGUCUUGCUUUUGUGAUUUGUUGGGUGACUUUGGAGCUGUGCUCAGUCUAGACCUAAGAGUCUGGGUUAACCCCUGAGCACUCUCCCUGAUACCCAGUGAAUCUGAGGUUCCAGUCUGGCUGCUGGAGCCCCAUGUGGGCACAGGGCACUGGUCUCUCCCCACUUAAGGCACUCUUCACAGGAGCCUGUGUGUACCCCAGGGAACCCUCUGCAGAUCGCCAGGGCUCUCUUGGCAGCGGUCUCCUUUUAGCUCCUCUGUCCUAAAAACUCUAUAGCUUCCUUUAUCUCCCUGGAUGUCCAGCUUCAUCUCCUGAACUUGGGGAUCCCUCUCUAUUCAUCCAGGGGCGCCCCGGUGUCCUCUGCAGCCUAUUAACCUCUCAGGCAAGGAGCAGGGCUCACCUCAUCCAUUUCCCAUCUCCCAGGGACCACCAUCCUUCUGUUACUGGGAAGAGCUAAAUCAGACUCCAUGUUAGAUCAGUUUGUUUUACAUUAACCUAUGUAUUCUAUUGCUUUUGCUAUAAGUAGGAUGUUGCUUUAUAGCCUGGAAUAUACAGGAUAGCUCAUUCUCGAACCUCUGACUUUUAAAGAUAUAACACUUUUCCAUUCAAGUUGCAGAACAAAAAAUAACAUUCAGUCUUGUUGGAGGUUUACAGGAACAUCUUGACCUGACCUGUGUGGACAGCUGCAAGAACAAAGGAUUCUGUCAACAAGAAGUCUGCAACAACCAACAACACCCCCUUCCCUUUUUAGUAUAAAAGAAGCCUGAAUUCUAACUCAGGCAAGACGGUUUUUUGACAGACCCUAGCCUGCCAUCUUCUCGGU